CUGAGGCGGAGGGACGGGGCCAAGAUGGCGGCGCCCGUCCUGCUGCGGGUGUCGGUGCCGCGCUGGGAGCGGGUGGCGCGGUCCGCCGUGUGCGCCGCCGGCAUCCUGCUGUCCCUGUACGCCUGCCACCUGGAGCGCGAGAAGGGCCGCGACAGCCACUACCAGGCCCUGUGCGACCUCAGCGAGCGGGUGCGCUGCUCCGCCGCCAUCACCUCCAGAUGGGGUCGAGGAUUCGGUCUCUUGGGUUCCAUCUUUGGAAAGGACAGUGCAAUAAAUCAGUCAAACAGUGUUUUUGGCCUGGUGUUUUAUAUACUACAAAUGCUACUUGGUAUGACAGCAAGUGCAGUAGCAGCUCUAAUCCUCAUGACAUCCUCCAUAGUGUCUGUAGUAGGGUCCCUGUACUUGGCAUACAUUCUGUACUUCGUGCUGAAGGAAUUUUGCAUUGUCUGCGUGCUCACAUAUUUGCUGAACUUCAUUCUCUUUAUCAUCAACUACAAACGACUAGUUUAUUUGAACGAGGCCUGGAAGAGGCAACUCCAACCCAAACAGGAAUAACCCCUGCUGGAACUUUUGACUGACAGUCUGAAGACCCAACUUCCAUUAAGUUUAUUUUGCAGUAAUUUUUUUAUUCUCCAUAUCAGACACUUUUUGCCCCCCUUUCCCCCACAAGAAUCAUAAUGGAAAUUUUGAAUUCUAAAUUUCAAGGGGCCCCAGAUAAUUUCUCUGUGCUAAUCUUCAGUUUCAAUGCGGUUCUGAAAGAAAGCUCUGUAACAAUCAAAGACAAGCUUUAACUUUACUUGGAAGGAGUUUUAGCCACAGCAAAACCUAGACUCUCUCUCUUCCCCUCCACUUGUGAAGUGGGUAACACUUGCUAUAAAAUAUCCUGUAUAUAAAUUCAGGUAUAACAAGAUGUGAUCAUGACAUGAAAUAUUCUAGACUAGCAUCACCAUAUUUAAUAUUGCCAUGUUUACAGUAAGUGUAUUUUUUCUUUUUUUCUUUUUUUUUCCCUUUUUUUUUUUUUUAGCUGAUGGACUUAGAUUUGACUAGGACUUAUACUGUAAAUAAAAUCAGAACUCUUGGUUUCAUCCCUGGAGAACUCACUGUCCCAUGGGUUUGGUUAGGAGCUGUCAGAGGGUUCAGCUCAGAGUCGACUGACACGAUGGAAGAAGUGACCUCCAAAGAACAUGGAGCUGCUGCUCUCACUGUUGUGAUUUCACAAGAAUGAUGCUUGGGAUACCUCAGUCAGGAUUUCUUAACUUCAGCUCCUUGAAAGUGAAUAUUUGUUUUCCUGCCUGGAAACAAGAAGCCUCCAGACAUGGCUGAGCAGAGGAAACAAAAGUUUCUGAUCUGCUUUGCAUCACAG